CACGUAGGGUGCGAGCGUUGUCCGGAAUUAUUGGGCGUAAAGAGCUCGUAGGCGGUGUGUCGCGUCGGCCGUGAAAACCUGCAGCUUAACUGUGGGCGUGCGGUCGAUACGGGCAUCACUGGAGUUCGGCAGGGGAGACUGGAAUUCCUGGUGUAGCGGUGAAAUGCGCAGAUAUCAGGAGGAACACCGGUGGCGAAGGCGGGUCUCUGGGCCGCAACUGACACUCAUGGACGAAAGCUAGGGGAGCGAAUGGG
rnacentral:rRNA from 1 species